GGACCUUUCGGGCCUCUCGCGUCAGGAUAUGCCCAGGUGGGAUUAGCUAGUUUGGUGAGGUAAGGGCUCACCAAGGCGACGAUCCCUAGCUGGUCUGAGAGGAUGAUCAGCCACACUGGAACUGAGACACGGUCCAGACUCCUACGGGAGGCAGCAGUGGGGAAUAUUGCACAAUGGGCGCAAGCCUGAUGCAGCCAUGCCGCGUGUGUGAAGAAGGCCUUCGGGUUGUAAAGCACUUUCAGUCGUGAGGAAGGUAGUGUGUUUAAUAGAUGCAUUAUUUGACGUUAGCGACAGAAGAAGCACCGGCUAACUCCGUGCCAGCAGCCGCGGUAAUACGGAGGGUGCGAGCGUUAAUCGGAAUUACUGGGCGUAAAGCGCAUGCAGGUGGUGUGUUAAGUCAGAUGUGAAAGCCCGGGGCUCAACCUCGGAAUUGCAUUUGAAACUGGCAGACUAGAGUACUGUAGAGGGGGGUAGAAUUUCAGGUGUAGCGGUGAAAUGCGUAGAGAUCUGAAGGAAUACCGGUGGCGAAGGCGGCCCCCUGGACAGAUACUGACACUCAGAUGCGAAAGCGUGGGGAGCAAACAGGAUUAGAUACCCUGGUAGUCCACGCCGUAAACGAUGUCUACUUGGAGGUUGUGGCCUUGAGCCGUGGCUUUCGGAGCUAACGCGUUAAGUAGACCGCCUGGGGAGUACGGUCGCAAGAUUAAAACUCAAAUGAAUUGACGGGGGCCCGCACAAGCGGUGGAGCAUGUGGUUUAAUUCGAUGCAACGCGAAGAACCUUACCUACUCUUGACAUCCAGAGAACUUUCCAGAGAUGGAUUGGUGCCUUCGGGAACUCUGAGACAGGUGCUGCAUGGCUGUCGUCAGCUCGUGUUGUGAAAUGUUGGGUUAAGUCCCGCAACGAGCGCAACCCUUAUCCUUGUUUGCCAGCACGUAAUGGUGGGAACUCCAGGGAGACUGCCGGUGAUAAACCGGAGGAAGGUGGGGACGACGUCAAGUCAUCAUGGCCCCUUCGGAUUAGGGCUCCCCACGUGCUACAAUGGCGCAUACAGAGGGCGGCCAACUUGCGAAAGUGAGCGAAUCCCAAAAAGUGCGUCGUAGUCCGGAUUGGAGUCUGCAACUCGACUCCAUGAAGUCGGAAUCGCUAGUAAUCGUGGAUCAGAAUGCCACGGUGAAUACGUUCCCGGGCCUUGUACACACCGCCCGUCACACCAUGGGAGUGGGCUGCAAAAGA
rnacentral:rRNA from 1 species